rfam:Elusimicrobia bacterium GWA2_62_23 gwa2_scaffold_494, whole genome shotgun sequence.
GCCGAGGUAGCUCAACGGUAGAGCAUUCGCUUCGUAAGCGAAGGGUUGUGGGUUCAAAUCCCAUCCUCGGCU